rnacentral:rRNA from 1 species
GGAAUCUGCCUAUUAGUGGGGGACAACGUUUCGAAAGGAACGCUAAUACCGCAUACGUCCUACGGGAGAAAGCAGGGGACCUUCGGGCCUUGCGCUAAUAGAUGAGCCUAGGUCGGAUUAGCUAGUUGGUGGGGUAAUGGCUCACCAAGGCGACGAUCCGUAACUGGUCUGAGAGGAUGAUCAGUCACACUGGAACUGAGACACGGUCCAGACUCCUACGGGAGGCAGCAGUGGGGAAUAUUGGACAAUGGGCGAAAGCCUGAUCCAGCCAUGCCGCGUGUGUGAAGAAGGUCUUCGGAUUGUAAAGCACUUUAAGUUGGGAGGAAGGGCAGUAAAUUAAUACUUUGCUGUUUUGACGUUACCGACAGAAUAAGCACCGGCUAACUCUGUGCCAGCAGCCGCGGUAAUACAGAGGGUGCAAGCGUUAAUCGGAAUUACUGGGCGUAAAGCGCGCGUAGGUGGUUUGUUAAGUUGGAUGUGAAAGCCCCGGGCUCAACCUGGGAACUGCAUCCAAAACUGGCAAGCUAGAGUACGGUAGAGGGUGGUGGAAUUUCCUGUGUAGCGGUGAAAUGCGUAGAUAUAGGAAGGAACACCAGUGGCGAACGCGACCACCUGGACUGAUACUGACACUGAGGUGCGAA